AUGUGGAAGGCAGCCUGGAGCCUUCACCAAGGAUGAUAAGCCUGCGUGAAUUUUACGAGUCUCAGUAUCAAGGUUGCCCUCGCCCAAGGGAUUUACGAAGAAGGGGGAAAAAGAAGAGAAGGCAGAUGUAUGAAUAACCGGCAUUGUAAAUCUUCACCGUGGCAACCCAGAGCUAGGAAAAGUCUGUGAUGGGUUCACGACUUGAGAAGAAAGCGACGCAGCAGAGUGGGAAUGGAUUUUCUUCAGAUUCUUAAUGCACUGCUUAGAGCCGCUUAGGGGGGUGGGGUGGGUGCACACCAGUGUGUGCCUGGGGAAGUGUGUGUGUGUGUGUGUGUGUGUGUGUGUGUGUGCACGUGUGUGAAAGGGAGGGCGCGUGUGUAAGGGGAGGGACUCUUUGGAAAAUUGUUAGAGGGAAUUACUGGUGUUAUACAGCUUGCCAGCUUUAGGGGCAAAAAAGAAGGCCAUUUAGCCUCUGAAUAUAAAUGACUGGAUUUUGCUUGGGGUAGAAAAAAAAAAAGAUGUGGGGGAGGGGCGUGGGAUUAUGCAAGCCAGUAACAAUGAGCACGUUGGACCUUGGGCUCUGCAGCACAAGGUCACCGCGAAAGUCAGUGUGUUAGCUGGUGGAGGUGGCAGAGAGAAGAAAAUGACUCGCAGUAGAUUGCUUCCUGCUUUGCAAAACGUAGCAGUUACUGAAAAUAAGACGCAUUGGAGUGGUCUAUAGGAAUACCUGAUUUCCUUCUCUCUCUCUCUCUCUCUCUCUCUCUCUCUCUCUCUCUCUCUCGCACACACACACACACACACACACACACACACACACACACACACACACACACAUGCAUGCACGCACGCAUACGCAGGGCCUGCUGAUGUAUGAAAGUGAAGCCUUGGCUCUAAUUGUGCAAUUAUAAAACGGAAAUGAUGCGGGUUUGGUAACACAGGGAAAGAAGGCAGCUCAAUAACAUUGUUUAAUGACAAGCAAAUAAAGCUCAGAGGGGAAAGAGGUGACUCUUUCUGCUUUAGACUCAUUAAGGAGCCUGAAACAUAUUGUAAAAGAGUGAUAUUUAAUUAUGGGCUGGACUGAUAACAGAGAGCAGGGCCUCACUGGGAGAAAGAGACCCUGUGCUCCUAGGAGCUCACAGCUCCAAACAUCAAUUACCAUGAUUAUCUACCCAGCACUUGCAAAAUGCACCGGCUUCAUGUUCCAUCAGCGACCCGUAAACAGGCAUUGCAUAGGCAAAUUUAUGGGCACAAGCAGCCAGGGCCAGGUGGGAAAGCCAGCCUCCCAUUGGUGCUCCCCAGCAAAGGAGGAAAGGAGCAGAGGAAAGAAAAAUCCGCCUUGCGCUCUGUGGAAAGAACAAUUUAUUACUGAGUAUUUGCAGAAGACAGCACUUGCUGCCCGCUGCUAUUUUUUUUUCUUCUCUCUCUCUCCUUUUGCCUCUGCUGCCUGUCUGAAUGAGGAAUGGAAGUGUGUUUACCAACCCCUGCUUACAGGGGAUCACUUGGCACAGUCUCUGGAAACCUUGUGGUGCUCUGGAGGCCAUGAGUUCCGGAGCUAGGAGGGAGCAGCGCCUCUUUCCCUAGCAACUUCCUUUCAGGAAAGGGCUAGGACACCUUGUCUGGUUGUGAGAAAUUCGAAUUUGCAAGAAGAGUUGUGUAAUUUGCAUGCACUACGAAGUGCUUGUGUCAUGGUGUGUGUUUUUCAGGGUGAUUUGUAAAGUUCCUGGAUUUAAAGAAUGCUUGGAAAGCUUGGCAUAUGAUCCUGUGAUCCGAAUGUUAUGGAGGCUGAUGCAGGAUGAUUGUAAAUUUGAGGGCAGACGGGGCUAAAUAGUGAAUUCAAGGCUAGCUUGUAAGCUAUAAGAGAGACUUUUUCCCCCUCAAAACAAAACCAAUGUAAUAAAAAUAAAUUCUUGGAGAUGGUUGACUGUCAAAUCUCUUCAUAAGAAAGUACUGAAAUAGCCUACAUCUACCUAAACACCAUGAGUUCAACUACAAAUUUAGUUUCCUCAUGAACAAUCAUUCCAACUACAGCCUGAAAUGCUGACAACGUGCUCAGUUCUUCCUUGCUCUCUGUUUACAUUUACAUUCCCAAACAGACAUCGACUCCAUCAAUCUGUACAGCAAACUCAUUUGUGAGGAAGUCCUUGCCUCUAGGCAAGUGGUUGGAGAAACACUGCCUGAACUGAGUCUUGCUCUUUUAUAACUACUUUCUAGAACAAGGUUGCCCAUCAGUAAUUUAUGCUGAACAGUGGACACCUAACCAUGGACAGAGGCACCAUGGGUGAAUACCCCGGGACAGGUGCUGGCUCAGCUUCACCCCCAGCACCCACCUCAGGCGUUAGAAUCACGGUGGCUCGAAAAUGAUUAUUUGACCUGGAAAGUAAAUGCACAUUGUCAGCUGAUUUUCCUGUAAAUCCAACAAUCCAUUGGAAGCAUAGGGUGGUAAACACUUCUGUGGACUUCAGAGAAGAAAGAGAAUGUUAUUUGGAGUAAUGGCUGCCAGAGAAAAAAUACAGGGCAUUGCAAAAAAAUAAAAGUGAAGAUGGAUGAUGGAUUAGUCCGAUAUUCUAUUUUACUACUGGCUUACAGGUCACCUUCUACUGUACUGGUGCAUUUCUUUGGCCACUUGUCAAAGCCAUGUUGUGAUGGAGGCUGGCUUGUCUCGCGCUUUGCCUGCACGGAGGGCGGGCGUCCGGCUGGAGCUGUUGCACACACUCACGCGCGACGCCUCCUUGCCUUGGGAACCGCCUUGGACAGGGAGCGUUUGUUGAUUGGCAAGAUGGCUGGGUGCAAAGGCUUUGCCAACCCAUACCCCUCUUUUCUUUCCAAACUUGGCUCACAAUUUCCUUUUUCCUGGAAGCUUCUAAGCCUGCUCCCUCUCAAUUUUCUCCGUUUGGUCCUUUGUGUGUACAUCUUACACCCGGGCGUUCACACUGCAUGUGUUUCCUGCACUGAAUCCUUUUCCACUUCGGCUUCAGCAACUUGACCAGAACCUAAAUCUCUGCCAUGUGGGAGCUGUGUAUUCAGAUUCUCCUCGUGCCGCAAUAUUUAGAGUGUUGUAAGCAUUUCCUCAGGGUUAUUCACCAAACGUCUGCGGGGGAAUGGUCACCGUGAGGUGGAACUUUGCUUUUAAAAUCUUGGUUAAGCCAUUAAAACUCUCUGUGCUUCGUUUUUUUCAGUAUUAAGAGCAACCACAAAUGAAGCAUUUUCAAGUGUUCUAUGAAAAUUAAUGGAUAAUUAAUGGCGACAGUGCAAGAUAGUGAUUAAGAGGGCUGGCUUUGGAGCCAGGCUGCCUGUUUUGAAUCCUGGAUCGGCUCUGACGAACUGUUCAGUAAUUAUAAUGCUUGAAAUGUGCCGCUCCGUUUGGGGCUUCACAGUUACCAAAUGUGUACUCAGAGCCGGCCACCGUGACAGUCUAGGACUUCAUCACCAGGACACCCGUAGGAGGUAGAUGCGGCUCCCAUUCCCAUUUUGCACAUGGGCCGGGCCAAGUGCUCACGUGGCGCUUGCUGUGGGUAGUCAAUAACGACAAAGCUAAAGCCAUUCGACGAUUUCAAAGUUUCGCUCAACAGCCGGAGUUAGAAGACACGGCUGCGUUGUCUGGUUUCUGCAAUCUCCCUCCACUUGCCCUGCAUCUUCUGCUCCGCGGAGCGACGCAAACCUGGCAGCCAUGGAUUCCGCCAUGAGCACAGUUUACAGUGAGCGCGGAGAUAAACAGAGUGAAGCCUGCCUGGCACCCUCGCCAACCCUGCUUUCCCUGUGCGCCACAUUCCUGUUACAGCGUCGAAGCCAAGGGCCCAUGAAAGGGUUUACCACUGAGAUUGGCUGCCCCUCAAACUGUCAGAACUAUUGCCAAGUGUUGCUGUCAAAUAGUGGCACAUCUUUUCCCUCUCAGAAUUCUGAGAUUCUCUACGGCUUAAAAAAAAAAAGUCCAUUUGUAUGUGUGUGUUAUUCGUUUUCUUUCUGUGUGUUCGCAGGCGGUAGAGGUGACUCAUGUUUUGGUCUAAUUUAUCAGUGCUGAUAUCAGAGACUGAGCUUGUCUGAACACAUUCAGGGGCCUAGACUGUAGCAUGCAGCUACUGCAUCUCACAAACGCCAACACUAUAUUUUUCACAGUGCAGGAUUUUUCAUGCACCUCUUUAGUAAGUAUUAUACUUUUUUUUUGGUUUGAAUUUAAGUAAUGUAUCUUAUGUUCAUUAUUGAAAAUAGUCAUAAGAAUAUCCUUUAUUCUUCCCAGAUCACUUAAUUUAUACUCUAAAAUGUUUAAGAUAUCUAAAAGCAUUAGGGCCUAAAGAAACAAGAUUAUCACUUACUAAUUCUUUAUAAAUAUUUACGAUUGAAAUUCCCAGACAGCUACAGGGGGCCUACAGCACUUAAACUAAAGGUAGUGAACAGAGUAUAGGCACAAUAAUCAAUCCCGAUUAUUUUCUAAAUUAUAAUAAGAAUAUUUUCUGGAAUAAUUAAUUGUAUCCUUCGAUUACCAAAUGCUUAUCAUUUCAUUUGAUUGUGAUAAUAGCUGGACAGAGAUCUAGCAUUCUAUUAUAAAGAUGAUGACAGUGAGGCGGAGAGAAAGGACCUCACCUGGCUGGGCCACAUGUAAGCAUUUGCUUGUGUGUGUAUGUGUGUGUGUGUGUGUGUGUGUGUGUGUGUGUGUGUGUGUGUGUUGUAUGUCCAUAUGUGUGUAUGUAUUUAUACAUAAGUAAGUGUGCAUAUUUGUGUGCAUAUUUGUAUGCAUAUAAGUACGUCCUUUGUAUGUAUGUGUGCGUAAUAUGAGUGUGUGUAUAUACUUGUGUGUGUGCUGUAUGUGAUAUGUUUGUGGGUGUGGGUACAUGUGCAUCUGUGAUCACAAGUGCAGAGGCCAGACAUGUGUACCCUCUUCUAUCACUCUAUGUUGUAGUCCCUUAGGUAGAGGUCACUUGCUGGUUUUGCUAGGCAGGCUAGCCAGCAAAUCCCAGUGAUUGUCUUGUGCCCUCAACUUCCCAGCGCUGGGAUUACGCAUAGGUAUGCAGAGCCGUGCCUAGCUUUUUAUGUGAAUGUUGGGAACCUGAACUUAAGUCUCCAUGCUUAAGUGAGUGGCAAGCAUUCUUGCCAUGGAGGUAUCUCGUUAGCUCUGUUUCCUUAUGCAAUUUUCUCUUGGGGGAUUUGGUUGCAGCACACACAAGGAUCACCAAAUCUGAAGCUGCCCAAGCCCCUGAAGUUUUUACAUCUAUCAGAGCCAGCCCUCCUGAAACCAUCUGCAGAUGGCAGUGCAGGUGCUAUGGUAACAGUACACACACACAAAAAAUGUCAAUUAAAAAAUAACAAAGUAAUAGAUGUCUGUACAUGUUCAGUAUAGACACAGAUUAAGAAGUGCUGUGGUCUGUGCUUUGAAUCUCCUGAUGCGGGGCCUAUGAAGAAGGUGUGUUGCUCAUGUUCAGGAAGAGGCAGAGUUGCUUUCAGACUUGGGUUUUGCCUCUGGUCUGACCUUGCGCCUGCUGUGAUCUCUUGCCAUCUGAGCGUCACAAUGAACCAGAGGAAACUCAUAUUUUGUGUACACAAUAGUGUUUGGUCAGAUUCUACUUUAUAGAUAAAAUAUACACCAUAUACACCGCUUGGUUGAAUUUAAAAUUUUGUGAGUAGUGUACCCAGUAGCAAGUUGUGUGGGCUGUAUUUACACUAACACUCUUCAUUGUUUGUCUGAAAUUUACCUGUACCUGGGUAUGUGUUAUUUGUGUUUGCUAAAUCAGGCAACCCUAAUUUGAAUGUUCUCAGAAAACACAAGCCACCCUAGGUUUGCUCAAAGCCUAACUCAAUGUGUUUAUGUGUUCUGGUGGCUGACGUUAGCCACCUCUUAGCAUUGUUCAGGGUCAUGUCCUUGGGUGGAGAUCACUGGGAUAUAUUGGGAAGCACAGGGCUACAGGUUGAAUCUGAGUUGAAUCUAAGCAGUUUUCUCAGCUCAGCAACAUAUGGCAAGCUCCACACCUCACUUUUAAAUGCUACCCCCAAAUUUCUACAGUUAAAGGUGUGGUCCCCAGUAUGAUGCUAUGAGGAAGUAUUGGACCAUUAAGGAAUAGGGCCUUUUGAGUCAUCUUUUGGUCACUUUGCCUCCACCUCUUUAUCUCUGUAGCUUCCUGACCAUGCAGCAAGCAGGUCUGCCUCAGGAUCUACUUCUGCCGUGGUGUGUCACUGCCUGCCCACAGCAAAAAGGCCUAUGGGUCAUGAAACUGUGAGCCGAAAUGAAGCUUUGGUUCAAGGAUUCAUAAUUGGAACAGAAAGACAACACCUACUAGCCCUCUCAUUGUGAGAGCGGUCCCUUAGGAUCCCGGUUAGAGUGAGAAGAAGCCACAGAACUCUAGUUGUAGCAGAACAAGGGAGAUGAUUCUAGGUCUGUCAUUAAUCCAGACACUGGUAUUUCAUCACCACAGAUACAGAGGUGAUUGUGUGAUGACCUACAUCUUUGUGUUUCAUGACACUCUUGAGGGCUAUGCGACCACAGGCAGUGGAUAGCCUCUGAACUUAGUUGGCACUUGCAACAUUUCUUGCUGAGUAUAUAGAAUGAACACUCUGGAAUUUGAAUUAUGAGUGUUGAAAUUAGAAUUUAAAUGGCAUGCUAAGUUAUAUGAAUUUGAAAAUUUUGCUCACUUAUUUUUGAAAUUAUUUAUAUGUUUCUUUUGAAUAGGAUUAUUAGAAAUAAAGAUUACAUGUGACUCAU